GGUGAACGCUGGCGGCGUGCCUAAUACAUGCAAGUCGAGCGAACGGACGAGAAGCUUGCUUUUCUGAUGUUAGCGGCGGACGGGUGAGUAACACGUGGAUAACCUACCUAUAAGACUGGGAUAACUUCGGGAAACCGGAGCUAAUACCGGAUAAUAUUUUGAACCGCAUGGUUCAAAAGUGAAAGACGGUCUUGCUGUCACUUAUAGAUGGAUCCGCGCUGCAUUAGCUAGUUGGUAAGGUAACGGCUUACCAAGGCAACGAUGCAUAGCCGACCUGAGAGGGUGAUCGGCCACACUGGAACUGAGACACGGUCCAGACUCCUACGGGAGGCAGCAGUAGGGAAUCUUCCGCAAUGGGCGAAAGCCUGACGGAGCAACGCCGCGUGAGUGAUGAAGGUCUUCGGAUCGUAAAACUCUGUUAUUAGGGAAGAACAUAUGUGUAAGUAACUGUGCACAUCUCGACGGUACCUAAUCAGAAAGCCACGGCUAACUACGUG
rnacentral:rRNA from 1 species